rnacentral:rRNA from 1 species
GCAUAUCAAUAAGCGGAGGAAAAGAAAAUAACCAUGAUUCCCUCAGUAACGGCGAGUGAAGCGGGAAAAGCUCAAAUUUGAAAUCUGUCAACAUUUCUUUUGUUGUCCGAGUUGUAAUUUCAAGAAGCUGCUUUGAGUGUAGACGAUCGGUCUAAGUUCCUUGGAACAGGACGUCAGAGAGGGUGAGAACCCCGUCUUUGGUCGAUUGGAUAUGCCAUAUAAAGCGCUUUCGAAGAGUCGAGUUGUUUGGGAAUGCAGCUCUAAAUGGGUGGUAAAUUUCAUCUAAAGCUAAAUAUUGGCGAGAGACCGAUAGCGAACAAGUAGAGUGAUCGAAAGAUGAAAAGAACUUUGAAAAGAGAGUUAAAUAGUACGUGAAAUUGCUGAAAGGGAAGCAUUGGAAAUCAGUCUUACCUGGGUGAGAUCAGUAGUCUCUUCGCGAGACUAUGCACUCUGAACCUGUGGUAGGUCAGCAUCAGUUUUCGGGGGCGGAAAAAGAAUAAGGGAAGGUGGCUUUCCGGGUUCUGCCUGGGGAGUGUUUAUAGCCCUUGUUGUAAUACGUCCACUGGGGACUGAGGACUGCGGCUUCGUGCCAAGGAUGCUGACAUAAUGGUUUUCAAUGGCCCGUCUU